rnacentral:lncRNA from 1 species
GGCGGCGGCGGGGAAGGCGAAAGCAAGAGGCCCCGGUCCCUCUUUCUCGCUACUUCUCUUCCUCCUCCUCCUCCUCCUCCUUCCUCUCUCGCUCCCGCAGAGACGGCGAAACCAGCUGAGCCUCGGGAGCAGGCGAAGGGCGUCCGCGGCGUCCGCGCACCGGGGCUAAUCUGUGUCGGGGGAGCCUGGCUCUCUCUUAGCUCUCUCUUUCUCUCUCUCUUUGCCACGUCACGGCCGCCCCGGCUCCAACGCGGACAAAAUCGCGUCACGCCCGCCACAUCCUCACCGCGGCACCACCCACACGAACCUCGAGCAGGCCUCACGACACGCAGGAAGACUACGGCUCCCAGGCCGCCUCUCGCCGCCGCAGCCUUGGCGAGUCUGGUUUUCGGCUCGCGAGGCACGAUGGGAAACGUAGUCCUCAAGAGGCUCGGCUGCUUGCCCCUCUGGAAGGAGAGUUUGUAUGUGUGAGAGAGAGGCGCAGGGAGUGCUGGGAAGUGUAGUAGUCUCCCCUCCCUUUCUUCCCCCUUAUAUCGGCUUCCCCUCUGCCGUCUCUGCAGCAGGGCGUGCUGGGAGUCAUUGUCACCUCGUGCUGAGCUUGAGGCCUAGCCCCUUCGUGUGGAUGGUUAGAGAGCAAAGGUGCAGGGAGGAGUCCUAUGAGACUGUACUUGUCGCUGGAAGUGGUACAGCAGAUUUACCACUGCACCAGCCGCUUGUGAGACUUGUCCAGACUAUACUAGAAGGAACUGGUAAUGUCACAUUAAAUCAAAUCCUGGAUCUCCAAAUCUCUUCUUCCCUCAAAAGUAAUUCUUGCUCAUCUGGAAGGAUUAAUGACACAGACACAUCCUUUCCCCCCCUCUUAUAUAUUUCUGUAGUUAAUCAUGUUAUUUCUCAUGAAGGAGAAGAUCGUAAUGAUUUUAGAUUGCCUGCAUUUGAGAGAGUGGUGCCUGUUCACCUUUCAACUCAAGAUCCUGUUUAUAAUUAUUUCCUUGGAAUUUUGAAGGAGACAUAUUCCUACAUAAUGAAAACAACUCCAGCUGGCAGUUGACAGGUGGAGGCAGAGUUCAAGGCAAGAAUGCUGCUACCACAGCACAGAAAGACACUUAUCAUUCCUCUCCAGGUAUUGCUCUUCAGUGUCUGGUAUGUCCACAUAAAAGUUCCCUUCAACUUUUUAAACGCUUUUCUUAAUAACUUAAUUUUGAUACAGUUUAAGUUUCAUAAAGACUUUAGAAACGACCAACUGUUCAUUAUUGUAAAAUAAGUAUUUCUUAUGUCACCCUUUAC